rnacentral:rRNA from 1 species
UUAGCGGCGGACGGGUGAGUAACGCGUGGGUAACCUGCCUCAUACAGGGGAUAACAGUUAGAAAUGACUGCUAAUACCGCAUAAGCGCACAGGACCGCAUGGUCCGGUGUGAAAAACUCCGGUGGUACAGGAUGGACCCGCGUCUGAUUAGCUGGUUGGCGGGGUAACGGCCCACCAAGGCGACGAUCAGUAGCCGGCCUGAGAGGGUGAACGGCCACAUUGGGACUGAGACACGGCCCAAACUCCUACGGAAGGCAGCAG